GUAUUAAAUAGUUGCGUAAACCACAUCUUCUCCAACUUUAAUGUGGCUGGGAUUCAAGUGGGUAUCUUUCUAAAAUGCAGAUUCUGAUUCAAAAGGUCUGGGGUUGAGUCACAGAUUCUGUAUUUCUUACAACACUGGCAUCUUAUGUGAUGCCACUGUUGCUGGACCAAAGACCAUAUUGUAAGUAGCAAGCAUAUAAACAACCUUGUUUUGUAAAUAAGAAAACAGGAUUAAGACGGCAAAUAAUUUACCACGAUCACAGAGCUACGGUGAGUCAGGAUUUGAAUUCAGGUGUAUCUGACCAACCAAUAAAGAGCCUAUCAAGGUGCUGGAGGAUGCAGGGAUUAGAGCCAGCAGAGUAAGUUUGGAGGAGGAGGCUGACCUCCUUAAAUGUGAGAAUUUACUGGGAAAUGGUGGGAGACAACAUCGGUACCAGAAAUAGAAGUCAUCCACUGCUUAAUAUAGAAUUAGUGCUACAGAGAAGAAACAGAAGUCAAACCUUGUUUCUUGACCUGUGAAUAUCAAGACAUUAAAGAAACAGAAUUGGCAGAGAGAACGAGUAAACCUGAUGAGGCCAUGUCACAGGUACUGGAAAGAAGCAACCAUUAUCGACAUGAGAUAAUGACCAGAGAUCUAGCAGGAGUGGGGAUGUAACAGUAAUUGCCACCAAAGCCAUUGACUGGGGAGCCAUGAUGCAGAGUUACUCCCUUCCAUCACAGAUGCGUCCACGACAUUGUCAUAAGAGAAGACUUCAAAUUAACCUGAGACUGAUUUGCGAUUUGGGAAAAUGAAUGCAGAACGAGGAGAACUGGUUCCACGGCCGCAUCAAAGGCUCCGGGACCUGUCAGAAAUGUUAACCUCUUAAAGCUGAUUGUGAUCCUCCAAAGUGGAAGGAAACAAAGAAAGGAAAAGAAAAGAAAGAAAAGGAGAAGAAUAUCUAGAAGAUCUGCUUGUGUAGACUUGCCCUUUGGUCCAACGUGUUACAAAUCAAUGCAAAGACUUCCAAGAUAUAGAAGAGGGAGGUGCAGAACAGACUCUUCGCUGACGUGCUUGGGACACUGUGGAAGUUUUAUAAGCAUGUCUGGCUGAAUUUAAUGCUGUAGUUUUUAACCGACAUCUAAUAUAUGUGGAGAUGCUAACCUGAUUCCAGGACUAUUGAUUUACUUGUUCUUUCGUGCCGUCAGGAAAUAUUUCAUGUAUACUUACCAUGAGUCAAUGUCAGGGCUGAGGUGGGGAGACUGAACUGAAAGGCCUCUUGAUAAAGUUCUUGUUUCCCUGGAGCUUACAGUCUAGAAGAGGAAAAAGCAUAAAGAAACAUGUAAUUAC
rnacentral:lncRNA from 1 species